UCGCGAAAACUUCACAAUGGGGGCAACCCCGAUGAGGGAAUUCCUAGUGCUAGUACUUUUUGUAUUAGCUUUUCUUCAGCUUAGAAAACUGAUGGAAUAAGGGCUGGGUAAGACGGGUGCCAGCCGCCGCGGUAAUACCUGCAGCCCAAGUGGUGGUCGAUUUUAUUGAGUCUAAAACGUUCGUAGCCGGUUUGAUAAAUCCUUGGGUAAAUCGAGAAGCUUAACUUUUCGAAUUCCGAGGAGACUGUCAAACUUGGGACCGGGAGAGGCUAGAGGUACUUCUGGGGUAGGGGUAAAAUCCUGUAAUCCUAGAAGGACCACCGGUGGCGAAGGCGUCUAGCUAGAACGGAUCCGACGGUGAGGGACGAAGCCCUGGGGCGCAAACG
rnacentral:rRNA from 1 species